GAAGUGAAAAUGUGCUGCCAUAAUCUCUAAUGUUGGGGACGCCACCUUGCCUCUCUGGAAUGGCCGCAAGGAAGGAUCGCUCGUGCCGGGACAUCUAACGAGGAGCUCAGUAUUAUAAUGAAAAUGCAGUUGUGCACAACACUGCUUCACUUCAUUUUCAAGUUUCGAACUCCCGCAAGACACCUCAAGUCCAAUCAUUUCCUCCCCGCCCGCUGCUGCCUGCCCCAUGCCUCGCCGCGCUCCCUCCUCCUCUCCGUCAUUCUUCUCUUCUUCCAUCCGGCGCCAACACAAGUCACUGAAAAUCAAGGCGAGUGCAAACCAGAUAAGAUAACGAACAGUGAUUGAAAACGCUGAUGAAAAGAGAAAAACUGUGAGGUGUGGCGGCUGUCUCGUUGUGUGUUUGUGUUGUUGAGCGGUGGGGUGAGGAGUGUGGGACAAUGGUUGCUUCCAGGAGCCAUCACUGAACCAUGGGAGCUGCAAGCACCACCACAGCACAGUAGGAGGAUGGUGCAGCCCAGUACAGCUGAGGCAUCCAGAACCGACCCACUGAGGACUGAUGGCGGGAGGUGAGGUGCAGCGGCAGGAAUUUCUCUGGACAUACAGUUUGUGUUUCGGCGCAGCAUCCUACCUCCUCGUGCUCCUCCGCCUGACUCACGCGAACCUCAUCUGCCGGUGCCGUUUCAUCCCAGCAGUCUAUCAGGCCACUCUGUAUUCUUUUCCUGGGCCUCCUUGGCGAUGUGAGUAGUGAGCACCUCCUCAAAGGGCGCACCUGCGUGGACUUCAAACAUCUCAUGUCGACCGGAAUCCAGGUACGACCAACAACUGAACACUUCAUAACCGAAUGGAUUCUACAAGACUGAACAAAGCAAGUAAAUACGAAGCAGCACACACAGGAGAGAAUGAACCAGCAACCAACACCUCGACCUUCAACUUGCGGCUGUCAUCCACACCCACACAUGACUUGGUUCUGCAUCAUGGGUCAGGUGGAGGGAAGAGGGAGAGGAGAAGAAAGAAGAGAAAGGAACGGGAGAAAGAAGUAGGAUUAAGGAAGGACGGAAAGAAAAUGUGUUGGGGAGACAAUAAAGGAAGGAAAGGAGAGAAUAUAAAUGAAAGAGGAGACGGGAAGUAGAGAAGAUAGGAAGAGGAGAGAGGAUGGAGUUGGUGAAAUCUGUGAGGGCUAAAGAAGUGAAAAUUAUGAAGAAUAAGGAUAAAAGGAAGGGAUAGAAAGAAAAAAAGAACGAGAGGAAAAGUAGAAUGAGGAAAGACGGAAAGAAAGCAGAGAUGGAUAAGAGCAAAGGACAUAGCGAGUGACCAAAAAGAAGAGAAGAGGUAGAGUUCGUUCAGAUGAGUUUGAUUGACGCACUCAUUCCAGGCGCGCCCUCUCUGCCUCUGAGGUCUGCCAUUGAGUAACUGGUGGAUCAAACGCACUCAUCCCCUCCAUGUGAUUGAUUGCCUCGGGUAGAAAACAUUUAACUGGAGGCCGUUUGGUAUGGCGAGGGGGAGAGGGGAGCUAACCCAUCCAAUCAAAAUACAAGGAUUUGUAUGGGACGUACGGGAUCUAAAACGGCAAGUUAUUGAGUUGCUUUGUGGCUGAUUGGGCUGAGCUACUGACUAAAUACUAUUAAAGCCACCAAUAAUUUAAAUACAGUGUAUCAGGAAUAUGGAAUCACAAGUACUGAAUGUUAGUUGUUUUGUGGCUCAUUGGGUUACAACUAGACUAAUUUUAUAUCGUCAGCUCUUAAAUAACAUUAGAUUACCAGAAUAUUGUAACUGUGGGAAGUGUAUGGGAUGUGCAGAAUUGAAUACCUGUUUCUAGUUAUUUUGUAGUCGAUUCGAUGACGUAAGUGAUCACAGGACGCAGUAACAUUCGGCAGUUUUACUUCCAGCUGAUCAAAGAUAAUUAUUCAGCAGUUUUUCUUUUGAGCUACUUAACCCCUUC
rnacentral:lncRNA from 1 species